rnacentral:rRNA from 1 species
GACGAACCGUGCGAACGUUGUUCGGAAUCAUUGGGCGUAAAGGGCGCGUAGGUGGUUCUGUAUGUCUACCGUGAAAGCGUACGGCUCAACCGUAUUUUGUCGGUAGAAACUGCAGGACUUGAGGGCGAGAGAGGAGGGUGGAAUUCCUGGUGUAGCGGUGAAAUGCGUAGAGAUCAGGAGGAACACCCGUGGCGAAGGCGGCCCUCUGGCUCGACCCUGACGCUGAGGCGCGAAAGCGUGGGGAGCAAACAGG